GUUGUCGUGAUGAUGGAAUUUGCAGUUGAGAAUAUGGGGAUACAUGUCUUUACAACUAAAAUUGGGGAUUUAAAUUAAGCUUCUCUUCAUAUGUUUCAAAAACUGGGAUUCGAAAAAGUUUCCCACAGUCAUGUUUUCAAAGAGAAAUGACGCUUUCAACUGAGUGUGUCUAACACUCAACAAGGAAAGUAGGUUGGAC